UGCAGUCGACGAAGAUGGCAGCCUCUGGUUGGCAUCUUAGUGGCGGACGGGCGAGUAACGCGUAAGAACUUGCCCCUGGGAGAGGGAUACCAACUGGAAACGGUUGUUAAUACCUCAUAGGCUGAGGAGUAAAAUGGUUAACACCGCCUAGGGAUAGGCUUGCGUCUGAUUAGCUAGUUGGUGGGGCAAAGGCCUACCAAGGCAAUGAUCAGUAGCUGGUCUGAGAGGACAAUCAGCCACACUGGGGCUGAGACACGGCCCAAACUCCUACGGGAGGCAGCAGUGGGGAAUAUUGGACAAUGGGGGCAACCCUGAUCCAGCAAUGCCGCGUGGGUGAAGAAGGUUUUCGGAUUGUAAAGCCCUUUUGGCGGGGACGAUGAUGACGGUACCCGCAGAAUAAGCUCCGGCUAACUUCGUGCCAGCAGCCGCGGUAAUACGAAGGGGGCUAGCGUUGCUCGGAAUGACUGGGCGUAAAGGGCGCGUAGGCGGCUUACACAGUCAGGCGUGAAAUUCCUGGGCUCAACCUGGGGACUGCGUCUAAUACAUGUAGGCUUGAGUGUGAAAGAGGGUCGUGGAAUUUCCAGUGUAGAGGUGAAAUUCGUAGAUAUUGGAAAGAACACCGGUGGCGAAGGCGGCGACCUGGUUCAUUACUGACGCUGAGGCGCGAAAGCGUGGGGAGCAAACAGGAUUAGAUACCCUGGUAGUCCACGCUGUAAACGAUGUGUGCAGGAUGUUGGGGUGCUUAGCACUUCAGUGUCGUAGCUAACGCGGUAAGCACACGCCGGGGGAGUACGGCCGCAAGGUUGAAACUCAAAGGAAUUGACGGGGCCCGCACAGGCGGUGGAGCAUGUGGUUUAUUCGAAGCACGCGCAGAACCUUACCAUGAUUGACAUG
rnacentral:rRNA from 1 species